AUACGGAGGAUCCAAGCGUUAUCCGGAAUCAUUGGGUUUAAAGGGUCCGUAGGUGGAUAAUUAAGUCAGAGGUGAAAUCCUGCAGCUCAACUGUAGAAUUGCCUUUGAAACUGGUUAUCUUGAGUUAUUAUGAAGUAGUUAGAAUAUGUAGUGUAGCGGUGAAAUGCAUAGAUAUUACAUAGAAUACCGAUUGCGAAGGCAGAUUACUAAUAAUAUACUGACACUGAGGGACGAAAGCGUGGGGAGCGAACAGGAUUAGAAACCCUAGUAGUCC
rnacentral:rRNA from 1 species